AUGCUUACUUUGGGAUCACUUAUACUAAAAUUGGAAUGGUACAGAAAUUAGUAUAGCCUCUGCACAAGGAUGACACGCAAAUUUGUGAAGCAUUACAUAUUUAU